AUGAACGCUGACAGAAUGCUUAACACCUGCAAGUCAACUUGAACUUCGGUUUGGGUGGCGGACGGGUGAGUAACGCGUAAAGAACUUGCCUCACAGCUAGGGACAACAUUUGGAAACGAAUGCUAAUACCUGAUAUUAUGAUUUUAGGGCAUCCUAGAAUUAUGAAAGCUAUAUGCGCUGUGAGAGAGCUUUGCGUCCCAUUAGCUAGUUGGAGAGGUAACGGCUCACCAAGGCGAUGAUGGGUAGCCGGCCUGAGAGGGUGAACGGCCACAAGGGGACUGAGACACGGCCCUUACUCCUACGGGAGGCAGCAGUGGGGAAUAUUGGACAAUGGACCAAGAGUCUGAUCCAGCAAUUCUGUGUGCACGAUGAAGUUUUUCGGAAUGUAAAGGGCUUUCAGUUGGGAAGAAAAAAAUGACGGUACCAACAGAAGAAGUGACGGCUAAAUACGUG
rnacentral:rRNA from 1 species